rnacentral:misc_RNA from 1 species
AAGUCGUAACAAGGUUUCCGUAGGUGAACCUGCGGAAGGAUCAUUAACGAAUAACUAUGGUGUCUUGGUUGUAGCUGGCUCCUCGGAGCAAUGUGCACGCCCGCCAUUUUUAUCUUUCCACCUGUGCACCGACUGUAGGUCUGGAUGACUCUCGCACUCCGGUGCGGAUGCGAGGAUUGCUCUCGGGCUCUCCUCGAAUUUCCAGGCUCUACGUCUUUUUACACACCCCAAACGUAUGAUACAGAAUGUAGUCAAUGGGCUUGAUCGCCUAUAAAACACUAUACAACUUUCAGCAACGGAUCUCUUGGCUCUC